rnacentral:rRNA from 1 species
GACGAACGCUGGCGGCGUGCUUAACACAUGCAAGUCGAACGGAAAGGCCCUGCUUUUGUGGGGUGCUCGAGUGGCGAACGGGUGAGUAACACGUGAGUAACCUGCCCUUGACUUUGGGAUAACUUCAGGAAACUGGGGCUAAUACCGGAUAGGAGCUCCUGCUGCAUGGUGGGGGUUGGAAAGUUUCGGCGGUUGGGGAUGGACUCGCGGCUUAUCAGCUUGUUGGUGGGGUAGUGGCUUACCAAGGCUUUGACGGGUAGCCGGCCUGAGAGGGUGACCGGCCACAUGGGGACUGGAAUAGGGCCCAGACCCCUACGGGGGGCAGGAGGGGGGAAAUUUGCAAAAGGGGCGGAAGCCUGAUGCAGAAACCCCGGGGGGGGGAUGAGGGCCUUGGGGUUGUAAACCGCUUUCGCCUGGGACGAAGGGUGGGUGACGGAAAUGGGGAAAAAAGCACCGGCUAAUUACGU